rnacentral:rRNA from 1 species
AUUGAACGCUGGCGGCAGGCCUAACACAUGCAAGUCGAGCGAGCGGCGGACGGGUGCGUAAUGUCUGGGAAACUGCCUGAUGGUGGGGGAUAACUACUGGAAACGGUAGCUAAUAACGCAUACCAUCAGAUGUGCCCAGGUGGGAGUAGCUGGUAGGUUGGGUAACGGCUUACCUAGGCGACGAUCCCUAGCCGGGCUGAGAGGAUGACCCGCCACACUGGAACUGAGACACGGCCCAGACUCCUACGGGAGGCAGCAGUGGGGAAUAUUGCACAAUGGGCGAAAGCCUGAUGGAGCAAUGCCGCGUGUGUGAAGAAGGCCUUCGGGUUGUAAAGCACUUUCAGCGGUGAGGCGUUACCCGCAGAAGAAGCACCGGCUAACUCCGUGCCAGCAGCCGCGGUAAUAC